rnacentral:lncRNA from 1 species
GUAAUUAUUAAUCAGCUCACUCGUACUAGUCUGUUCAUUCGUCCGAUUCGUUUUAGGUCUGUUCGUUUUACAACUUUGAGAAGAGUGAUUGAAUCACGCUGCGUUGAAGAAUAGAAGGCAAUUAAUCAUUUUCAAAAUAAACAUUUAUGUGAAGGUUCUAUGUAGUAGGAAACUACAAAGUGAUAACAUUGCAGUUUGAAUCUGGUUCAAGCAUAGACACAUACAAUUCCAAAAGUUGUUAUUAAACUAGGUCAUAUCGGAUGGAGAAAGAGCUUGUGGGCUGGGCUACAGGCCAAAGCGAAGAGCUGAAGAUAGCAAGAUUGCUGUUACAAAAUUUUCCAAUGCAUCGAAAAAUUUUCAAUCAUCACUACUUCGAAUCAAGAGAAAAUGGAUGUGGCUCGGAUUGGAACUUCAUUUCGACUUCGGAUGCUGUAAAAAACUGAAGAAGAAACGCGAGUUAACGAUGCUGCAGUGGUCAACUUAAUCAUACAGACUGGCAUUUUUAUGGUGGAGGAUUCAGAAGAUAAACCUGCCAGCUUUUGGAACAGGUUCACUUCAUUAUUCAUUAUUUUACCUGGGGAAUCCAUCAUUCCACUAGUCUGUUACGAAAGUGCUAGUUACAAACGACAAAAUCUUCUCGAACGACAAGUCUUCGAAGUCGAUUAAAGAAGGAGAAUUUAUUGCGAGAAGAACAGGAUUUGACAUUCGUUUUCUAACCAAUGAACAACUGGAUGCGUAAAGCUCAACAGUUGACACGGGGGACCUUUCUUGUCAUUGCAACUAUAUUAUGAUUCAAACUGAUGCCGGUUGAGACUGGUUUGGAUCUUAAAAUCCACUGGACUCAUCAGACUAUUCCGUUUCCUGCCUGCUGAUAUACUUUGGAUCCGGUGUCAAGUACCGAAUACUAACCCGGAUCGUGUGAUAAUUUAGAGCAAACAUUUUGGGGCAUCUUUCGUUCGACAUUUCAGCGCAUUCAACCUCCGCUUAAAUCGACGGUUUGCAACUUAACCAUAAAUUUGGAUAAGUUUGCAGAGGAGGAGAAGAAUAUUUUUAAAAAGCCGACUGUGCUUCAAACGGUUCGAAAUGAAAGAUUUAUUCAUUCACCAAGAAACGAGUCAAACGACUCACAUGUAAAAUGACCCAUCCCCAGCAACGUUAACCUGCAGAAGGAAAGGCCAGUUUCCAUGUACAUUCGA